rnacentral:rRNA from 1 species
AGAGUUUGAUCCUGGCUCAGGAUGAACGCUGGCGGCGUGCUUAACACAUGCAAGUCGAGCGAAGCACUUGGAUUACUUCGGUUUGAAGAGUGACUGAGCGGCGGACGGGUGAGUAACGCGUGGGUAACCUGCCUCACACAGGGGGAUAACAGUUAGAAAUGACUGCUAAUACCGCAUAAGACCACAGCACCGCAUGGUGCAGGGGUAAAAACUCCGGUGGUGUGAGAUGGACCCGCGUCUGAUUAGCUAGUUGGUGGGGUAACGGCCCACCAAGGCGACGAUCAGUAGCCGACCUGAGAGGGUGACCGGCCACAUUGGGACUGAGACACGGCCCAAACUCCUACGGGAGGCAGCAGUGGGGAAUAUUGCACAAUGGGCGAAAGCCUGAUGCAGCGACGCCGCGUGAAGGAUGAAGUAUUUCGGUAUGUAAACUUCUAUCAGCAGGGAAGAAAAUGACGGUACCUGACUAAGAAGCCCCGGCUAACUACGUGCCAGCAGCCGCGGUAAUACGUAGGGGGCAAGCGUUAUCCGGAUUUACUUGGUGUAAAGGGAGCGUAGACGGCUUUGCAAGUCUGAAGUGAAAGGCAUGGGCUCAACCUGUGGACUGCUUUGGAAACUGUAAAGCUAGAAUGUCGGAGAGGCAAGGGGAAUUCCUAGUGUAGCGGUGGAAUGCGUAGAUAUUAGGAGGAACACCAGUGGCGAAGGCGGCUUACUGGCCUGCAACUGACGGUGAGGCACGAAAGCGUGGGGAGCAAACAGGAUUAGAUACCCUGGUAGUCCACGCCGUAAACGAUGAGUACUAGGUAUAGGAGGUAUCGACUCCUUCUGUGCCGCAGUUAACGCAUUAAGUACUCCGCCUGGGGACUACGGCCGCAAGGUUGAAACUCAAAGAAAUUGACGGGGACCCGCACAAGCAGCGGAGCAUGGGGUUUAAUUCGACGCAACGCGAAAAACCUUACCAAGUCUUGACAUCCUUUGACCACCUUAGAGAUAAGGUCUCCCUUCGGGGCAGAGUGACAGGUGGUGCAUGGUUGUCGUCAGCUCGUGUCGUGAGAUGUUCGGUUAAGUCCCGCAACGAGCGCAACCCCUGCCGAUAGUUGCUACGCAAGAGCACUCUAUCGGGACCGCUACCGACAAGGUGGAGGAAGGUGGGGACGACGUCAAAUCAUCAUGCCCUUUAUGACCUGGGCUACACACGUACUACAAUGGCCGUUAACAGAGGGAAGCAAUACCGCGAGGUGGAGCAAAUCCCUAAAAACGGCCCCAGUUCAGAUUGUAGGCUGCAACUCGCCUAUAUGAAGCUGGAAUCGCUAGUAAUCGCGAAUCAGAAUGUCGCGGUGAAUACGUUCCCGGGUCUUGCACACACCGCCCGUCA